rnacentral:lncRNA from 1 species
AUGUGCAGGGAGAUUCAUGCUGCCUGCCUGCGGGUGCCAGGAGCCCAGCUCCAACAGCUCCGCCGGGUCCAAAGCUCCCGAUUCAGGGAUGAAAGUGAGGAGCUAGAAAGGGGAUGGCUCGAAACAUCCUGGGCAUCGUAUCUGCUCCCUGCUUCCACAGGUCAGGCAAGAAAGCUGGGCGUUAUCCUAGUGUUGGAGCUGGGGUUGGCGGAGCAGCAGGCUGCCGUCAGCUCUGCGGGCAGGACGGUGGUUAGGACUGUGGGGAAACCGAGGCAGAGAGGGGUGAGGGGACGGGCCGUGUCCCUCGGGCAGCACGUGGAGGGGCAAAGGGGUCCCGAGUCCUGCCAGCGAGGGCCUCUCUCCCCACCGCAGCCCCGUGCAUCAUCCCCGUCCCUGCAGCCUGGCAGCCAGCGGAAACUUCGGGCACCAGCUGGUGCUCGAGUGGCUGCUGUGGCCGUAACCCCACGUGGGGCUGGGGCACCCCGACGGGGGCUGUGGCACUGUCCCGCCUUGCGGCCCGGCCCCUUCCCGGUGUUUCUCAUCUCCCACUUUUCCACGCUUUGCUCUCAGCCGGCAGCUGCUGCUGCAGGGUGCUGGGGACUGGGGCAGGGAGCCGAAAAGCAGAACCGUUGUGGCAGCCCCAGCAGCAGCAACCUGCUUUGCAUGGAAGCAGGUUCGAUGUGCAGAAGGGAGCUCCUGAGCAUCCUGAAGCCUGGCCUUGCUUGGCUUCUCCUCAGGCUGCCAACAGAAGGGCUGUUCRCAGCACUCGCCUUGGAUCCCAGCGCGGAUUUCAAACGCCUUCGUCCAUCAGGGCUCUUCCAAGCUCAGGUGAGCAGGUCCACAUGGGCGAGCAGGGCCGGCUCGGAGCAGCUCCAAUCCAGUGGCAGCAGCCAGUGCAGCCACCUGUUUCUGGCCGCCCUCGGCCCUAUCUCCCGCCCUGUGCCUCAGUUUCCCCGGCCACCCACAGGGAGCAGGGGGCAGCUCCUGUCCCUGUUGCACCCUGUGGGCCGUGCGCAAAGGGCUGACAGCAGGUGGUUUCCGCAGCCCAAGCACAUGCUGAACACAUUAAUUGCCAGGUUACAGGCUGUCCUGCUCCGGGGCUCGUGUCAAUCAGUAAUGGAGGGCGAUAAAGACACAGAUGACACCAGUCAUUGCAGAGCUGCUGCUUUCGCAGUUACCUGUGUCAUCCCCAAGACAGGAGAGCCAAGAAACUGCCUGUGGAAAACGGGCUGUUUUUAA